UAUCUUGUCCCUCUGAGAAAAGCUGCUGAGACACAGUGUGAUCCUUAUAGGUAAAAAGCGGCACAAUCUCUCUCUAUCCAGGCUCUGGAUUGAGUGGUCUUGGUGCUGGGCCAUCAUCUGGGGCGGCCAUUAGUAGUGGUGCAAGGAUUCCAGACAUUCCAGAGCACGGAACAGGGCCAGACAGAGUAGGGACCCUUCCUGCACCCAUACGACCUUCUGGCUCAGUGUUUUCUUGGCCUUUGAGGCUGCCAGGAGAACGGAACAAAAUUGUGCACUAUCCCGUACAGACCAAAGGAUGCCGUUAAUGUACUCUGCCUGUUUCCCUCAGCCACUCAGUUUCCUUCUCUUGAAUGGAGCAAAAGCCUGAGGAGCUGGCCCGAAUAAUGCAGAACAUUAUUCCAUCUGAUUCUCUUGUGAUUCAAAAAUCACCGACUGUUCACACCAUCUUGGAAGGAUAAAGAUGCUGUGCUAGAGCGGAGGAAACCGGGAAGGAAGUCCCAUUUCUAGGGAACACCCCUAAGAGCUCAGGGACCUCAGCUAUUGGCGCAGCUAGAAACUCUCCCAGAGAUGCUGAAAGGCAUCAAGCAAGAAUUAUCCCGAAGUCUUCGUUCUAACUUUUCUGCUCACCUUCUUUUUCACUCUGCGCAUGUGCGCAUGCACGCACGCACACGCGCACCCACACACGCACGCAUGCGCACACACAGCUUAAGGGAUGUACAGAGCAGCCCACUUUAAAGAUGGAGAAAACUGACUGAAAACAAGUGGCUGCCUUCAGCCAGGCAAAGCGGAGACUGAAUGGGUCUUUUCUGCUCCGGCCUGCUCCCAGUUCCACCGCCUCUCCAGGGACCUUCUAAAGUUUGAUUAACUAGAGUGCUAAUUGGCGGAGGCUGCAGACAGAGCCCGAGUAUGGCAAGGCUAGUCGUGUUUUCUUUGAUUUACAAGAGCCAGGCAAGGCUACGUCCACAGUUUAAUGAGCGGGAAGUAAUUGGGGACCUGUUGCCUUCAAAGAGCCCCGAGCCGGAGCCCGCCUCCCCUGCCUUUACUACUGGCAUAGAACACCGCCUCUAGGUGUGACUGUGGGUGGGUAGGGCUCUGGGAGGGAGAGUGGGGACCUCCGAAUCUGGAAUGCUGUCAGUUUGUACUUAGGAGGCGGCAACUUUGGGUUUUAGGACUGGUUUAGGACUGCCAGCCACCAAAGAGAGCUGCAGCUGUCACAGAAGGAAGAGGUGGCAUGUGGGGGACCCCCUUGUACUUUGGCAGAGGCCAGGUGAGGGAAGCCAGCUCUUGCUUUAGCACCAGGGAAAAGCAAAGACUGAAGACCAGGACUGAUAGGCCUUCUAAUCCAGCUGCAGAACCUGGCUCUCCGUGCUCUGGGUGUGUGUAUGUGUGCCGCUGGGGGUGUCCUCUCCCUGGGACUCCAGCUCCCAGGAGCACCCGAGGGAGCCUUCCCGGAGAACGGUGAAGAUAGGAACUUGGACAUACUUGGCUCAUGUAGAAGAGUGUUGUUCCCUCCCCUCCUCCUCCCACGGACAGCCUGCCUGUCUGGCCUGGCGGUUCUGUCACGGAAGGGCAAGAUGCUCGUUCAGUCCGGACAUCUAGCGGUCCACUUUUAUCUUCUCAUGAGGUGUAGGGUUCUGAUCUCAUCUUGUCUGCCAUGAUAUUUUGACUUCCUAUGUGAUCUCUAGCCCCCCUUUUUUUAAUCUCAGAGAGAAAGUGGGGAAAUGGGUCUACUUAUUUGGGUCCCCAAAGGAGCCUCCAGAAAUGUCACUAGAUUCUACCUAGCCAGGGACGGUUUCUUAAGGUAGGUACAUGCUGUCACUUAAAAUCAGCAUGUACUGGCUUCUCUGUGUGACAACCCAGGAAAGAAAGGUUGAAAGUCCAUUUUUUUUUUUUUUCUCACCCUGGCAAAUGAGGCCAAGCUGUGGAAGGGAGGGGCUGGGGGCAGGAAGGAUUUUUUUUUUUUCAGGCUGCCUGUCAUUCUCGCACUUUCUGUGAGAGCCUAGCUUGGGCAGAAAUAAAAAUGCCACUCUGAAUUUAAAUAAUCUGUCCUUCUGGGAAAGUCUUCGCGGCGACAGGGCUGUUAACAUGGAAAGUAAAAAGUAAACAAUGUAUUUCAGCAAUCAGUGUUCUGAGUGGGCUGCGGGACUCAGACAGCCUGCGGACAACUCCUGGGAGGAAGGGCCCUCUUAUGAUCUGCCAGGCGAGAGGAACAUGGAUUGACAGAACUUCUGCAGGCGCAUGCGGUCGGGAAAAAUCUUAUGGGAGUAAGGAUUGCAAGGACCAAGCUUCAGUGAGGCGGUGCAUGAAGCAGAAGGAAUCGCUUUAUGUGUGGAAGUCUACGGGCAGAACAGAAUGGGACCAGAGAGGAUCGUUUGAAUUGGCCCAUCCAGAGCCGGGUAGAUGGAGAUCUUAAGUCUCCCUUUGUUUUUGUGUUUUGUUUUGUUUCUGGUUCGGGACAUUGCUGCCACUUUAGCGUAGACGUCGACAGCUAAGACGCCCAUCGCUAGGGGGCGCAAGAGCCCUUCAUGAAAGUGCCUCGCAGCCACCAUGACCCAGACACAGGUCUCUGCUGAGGCUCACUCCUCAAGGGUGUCACCAGAUGUUGAGACAGGAUCUUACUCCUCCAAAAAGCCAGAGUCCUGAAAACUGAGGACAGACUUGUAGAAAGAUUGUCACUCCCUUCCCUAUUUCUUGUGAGCCGUGCUGCUCGGACCACUCAACGUCUCCCUCUAUGUGCUUUGCAGAAUUGCGUUUCAGCGAUGGAGAAUAAUGCUUAAAUCUCAAGCCUGACCUUGGAGAUAAUGUCACAGCUGAAGUGAGACUUUGAAACCUGCUUGCUCAUAACCUUUUGUCAAUAAGUUGGAGAUGAAAGACUCUCCUUCCCUGUGAUAUCCUCAACUGUCAAAAUCACCUGGCUUAUCAAUGGACCAGCAUGGCUUUCCCCCUAAGAAUUUACUGCGCGCUGCGGACUGGAGCUGCAGGCGGAGCUCACUUGUCUUCAGGACAGUGUGAUGGCGUUACCUGUGGAAGGGACCGAGCAUGUCAUGAAUCGGCGCCUUCAGGCUUCCUCUUCUGGACUCCCUGUAUUCCAAAGAGCACCUUACACAGAUAGCUGAUUGGCUGUCUACCUGGUAAGAGAAAUGGCUGCUUCUGGGAUCAGCAGAGACAAAAGAAAAGGCCGUGAACAGGGAGAGGAGUGGGCAUGGUUAGGGCUUUGAAGGCAGGCUAAUCUCUCUAGGUUUCCUUUAAGUGCUUGUGGGGGCGAGUCACGUGACUAGUAGGCACCUUGCAGUGAAUGUAAAUACCGAUGCACUUUUCAUUUCACCGUGGGAGCGAGUGGCAUGUUUGGUACCCAGUUCAUUAUCUAAAGUUCACGUCCACUAUUGUUCUCCGAGCUUGCUCGGGACAAGGAAAGCGCUGUAAAGGGAAAGGGUUGGGCUAAGCUCUGCUUUACUGAGUGCCUGGGAGCACACUGAACUCUGAUCUGAGAAGAAACCAGUCUCUUUGCCAAGCGGGAUGACCUGACUCCAGUAGCAUCCACGCUGCCAUAUCAAGUUGAGGUUGUCACUGUAAAAGCAAGCAUGGGGAAGUCUGCCUUUUCAUACCAAAAUCAAAGCCCUGGUCUGUCAGCCUGGAAUUGCUGAACAAAGCAAACCCUAAUCAGUAGGUCUAUAUGUAGAUUUAGACAUCUCCAGGAGGCUGAGAACCUAUCGGGCCCAAACUGAUUAUUCUAAUCAAGUGUUUUAAUUAAGCACACUCAAUGCCAACAUC